rnacentral:lncRNA from 1 species
UCCAUCCCAACAACGUUCAGACUGUGUGACACUGCCUGUGAUUCCAGAUUUCUAAAUUAUUCUCCCUGACACAUUUUCAAGAGCUUUUUUUGUGUCAGCAUUCACCAGUGAUGUGCUGUUGUAAAUACUUCACUCUAUUAAAAGCUUGCAGGUCUUCUCUUGAUCUUCAUUCCCAUGGGACAGUGAGCCAGAGGCAGCAAGAGGCAUUGAGUAUUGUCUUUGUGUUUCUUUAAUGUCAGGAGGGCAACUGGCUCCCAUGGUCAGGAUGAUCUCCAGUGGGAUUGAUAGUCUGCUUUACUUCAGAAGAAUUUACGAUCCUCUGCUGUCA